GUGGAAAACAUAUAUAUACCAAGUUUGAAUCUUUGCUUCUGUUUGCCAGUACUGUGAGAAAACGUCAGUGCCGAGGAGGUCUGGGUGCUAAAACAAACUCUGGAGCUGCUUUUUUGUCGAACACCAGUGCGAAGGUUUACUCUUUCAGCUGCUGCAGCCUGGACAGAAACACUAACUCUCACCUUACAAACAAACAAUAGGUGUCACCACUUCGUCCAUGAUCACAGAGUCUUCAUACAAUGAAGAAGUUCUUUGAAACCAGGACAGAGGCCUCCAGGAUUCAAACUUUAACCAUUAAAUCACAAAGAGGAGACACAGACGUGAAGACAUUUCCAGAAGGUCCUCAGCUGCUGUUGUCUUCUCCUCCUGCAGAGACAAGAACAUGUGUUAAUCACAGAAACUGAUCAGUUAAUCUAUUUUUCCUUUCCUAAACUGACCUUAUUCAUUGUUGACAUCUAAUUACAGUGAUGUAAAAUAAACUUACAGUAACUUGUUCAGUA